AAGAGUAAAGCCAAAAUAGAGGCGAGUCUUUGUUACAGAUUUAAUUGGAUUUUCCUACUUUUA
rnacentral:tRNA from 1 species